rnacentral:rRNA from 1 species
UGCAAGUCGAACGCUUCUUUUUCCACCGGAGCUUGCUCCACCGGAAAAAGAGGAGUGGCGAACGGGUGAGUAACACGUGGGUAACCUGCCCAUCAGAAGGGGAUAACACUUGGAAACAGGUGCUAAUACCGUAUAACAAUCGAAACCGCAUGGUUUUGAUUUGAAAGGCGCUUUCGGGUGUCGCUGAUGGAUGGACCCGCGGUGCAUUAGCUAGUUGGUGAGGUAACGGCUCACCAAGGCGACGAUGCAUAGCCGACCUGAGAGGGUGAUCGGCCACAUUGGGACUGAGACACGGCCCAAACUCCUACGGGAGGCAGCAGUAGGGAAUCUUCGGCAAUGGACGAAAGUCUGACCGAGCAACGCCGCGUGAGUGAAGAAGGUUUUCGGAUCGUAAAACUCUGUUGUUAGAGAAGAACAAGGAUGAGAGUAACUGUUCAUCCCUUGACGGUAUCUAACCAGAAAGCCACGGCUAACUACGUGCCAGCAGCCGCGGUAAUACGUAGGUGGCAAGCGUUGUCCGGAUUUAUUGGGCGUAAAGCGAGCGCAGGCGGUUUCUUAAGUCUGAUGUGAAAGCCCCCGGCUCAACCGGGGAGGGUCAUUGGAAACUGGGAGACUUGAGUGCAGAAGAGGAGAGUGGAAUUCCAUGUGUAGCGGUGAAAUGCGUAGAUAUAUGGAGGAACACCAGUGGCGAAGGCGGCUCUCUGGUCUGUAACUGACGCUGAGGCUCGAAAGCGUGGGGAGCAAACAGGAUUAGAUACCCUGGUAGUCCACGCCGUAAACGAUGAGUGCUAAGUGUUGGAGGGUUUCCGCCCUUCAGUGCUGCAGCUAACGCAUUAAGCACUCCGCCUGGGGAGUACGACCGCAAGGUUGAAACUCAAAGGAAUUGACGGGGGCCCGCACAAGCGGUGGAGCAUGUGGUUUAAUUCGAAGCAACGCGAAGAACCUUACCAGGUCUUGACAUCCUUUGACCACUCUAGAGAUAGAGCUUCCCCUUCGGGGGCAAAGUGACAGGUGGUGCAUGGUUGUCGUCAGCUCGUGUCGUGAGAUGUUGGGUUAAGUCCCGCAACGAGCGCAACCCUUAUUGUUAGUUGCCAUCAUUUAGUUGGGCACUCUAGCAAGACUGCCGGUGACAAACCGGAGGAAGGUGGGGAUGACGUCAAAUCAUCAUGCCCCUUAUGACCUGGGCUACACACGUGCUACAAUGGGAAGUACAACGAGUCGCAAAGUCGCGAGGCUAAGCUAAUCUCUUAAAGCUUCUCUCAGUUCGGAUUGUAGGCUGCAACUCGCCUACA